UACGUAGGGAGCGAGCGUUGUCCGGAUUUACUGGGUGUAAAGGGCGUGUAGGCGGAGACGCAAGUCAGGAGUGAAAUCCCCGGGCUCAACCCGGGAACUGCUUUUGAAACUGCGUCCCUUGAGUAUCGGAGAGGCAGGCGGAAUUCCUAGUGUAGCGGUGAAAUGCGUAGAUAUUAGGAGGAACACCAGUGGCGAAGGCGGCCUGCUGGACGACAACUGACGCUGAGGCGCGAAAGCGUGGGGAGCAA
rnacentral:rRNA from 1 species